UGGGAUUAUGUAUGAUUGGGGGGAAAUCAUAGUAAAGCUUUACUGUCCAGGGUUGCAGGAAGGCAUCUGUGAUGGAGCCCAGAUUGUGGCCUUACAGGGAGUAGAACUGGUGACAUUUCUGUUAUACUUGUUCACAAAUAGGUCUAGCUGGGGAGUCCCCCACUGCUGGAAAAUGCAUCUGGCUACAUCUGGGUGAAAGGAGCACUCAUGGUGACUGGAAAAAGACCUGGUCAGGCAGUCAGCCCGUUCUGCAGCCUUGGAAGGUUGAGGAUCUCAGUGACAGAACAGCUGAAAUUCUAGCUGCCGAAGUACUUCUUGCAGAGGUGUAUUCUGCUUAAUCAGUCCCGGGCUAGCCUGGAUCAGAGGCUGGAUACAGACUCUCUCAGAGUUCCCAGCACAACGCCCAGAAGCAACAGACCACUAUCCUGGGAAGGACAGGCAGUUGGAAUGUUUCAAGGGAAUACUUCACAGAGACCGGUAAAGACUUAUGAAUCUGAGGAGAUGACUGCCCACUGGGAUGAAAAUGAACUCUCCAGAGGACAGCCUGCAGAAGCCCUUGGCUGAAAAGAUGGCUAUCAAACCUGUGAGGAGCAGGGGGCCACGGUCCAGAGGAGUAUUGCCAGUGCUUGUCUGUCAAAGCAAGUAAGAAAAACCCAC